AUGGUCCUUUGUCUCCGUUUGUUUUUCAUUGUAGCCAAUUUAGAAGGUGUCCAGUCGCAGGUGCAGCUGGUGGAGUCUGGAGGGGGUGUGAAAAAGCCCGGAGACUCUCUCCGCCUCUCCUGCAAAGCCUCCGGCUUCACCUUCAGCAGCCACCGGAUGAGCUGGGUCCGCCAGGCUCCCGGGAAGGGGCUGGAGUGGGUCGCCUACAUUUACAGCACCAGCAUAUACUACAGUGACUCGGUAAAAGGGCGAUUCACCAUCUCCAGAGAUGACCCCAACAGUCUGUUGUACCUGGAAAUGACCGGCCUGAAGCCCGAGGACACCGCCUGGUAUCACUGUGCGGGAUUCAGAGUGAGGCGAAGCCGGGCUGAGCUCAGACAAAAACCUCCCACUGCGAUUAGCACAGAAACUCCCGGCUGCUUUGAUGCCGCCAGUCCAGCUGCUGCGGGUUCUCACCAGCGAGUCAGUCUGUUCGGUCUGGAACGGUUCGGAUUCACCGGCUGCUUUAGGCAACCCUAG